rnacentral:rRNA from 1 species
UACGUAGGGUGCAAGCGUUAAUCGGAAUUACUGGGCGUAAAGCGUGCGCAGGCGGUUUUGUAAGUCUGUCGUGAAAUCCCCGGGCUCAACCUGGGAAUUGCGAUGGAGACUGCAAGGCUAGAAUCUGGCAGAGGGGGGGUAGAAUUCCACGUGUAGCAGUGAAAUGCUGUAGAGAUGUGGAGGAACACCGAUGGCGAAGGCAGCCCCCCUGGGUC